rnacentral:rRNA from 1 species
UACGUAGGUGGCAAGCGUUGUCCGGAAUUAUUGGGCGUAAAGCGCGCGCAGGCGGUCCUUUAAGUCUGAUGUGAAAGCCCACGGCUCAACCGUGGAGGGUCAUUGGAAACUGGGGGACUUGAGUGCAGAAGAGGAGAGUGGAAUUCCACGUGUAGCGGUGAAAUGCGUAGAGAUGUGGAGGAACACCAGUGGCGAAGGCGGCUCACUGGACCGGUACUGACGCUGAUGCGCGAAAGCGUGGGGAGCAAACGGG